AUUGAACGCUGGCGGCAUGCCUAACACAUGCAAGUCGAACGGCAGCACGGGAACUUCCUCCUGUUGGCGAGGGCCGGACGGGUAAGUGAUAGAUAUACACCGGUCCUGACGUGUGCGAUAGGGCGACGGAAGCGGGAUUUAUACCACUACCGCACACGGCCUAAGAGCGAAAGCAGUUGAGCUCUCGACCUUUCGCGUUUGACUGAGCCGAUGUCGGAUUAGCUAGUUGGAGGGGUAAAGGCCCACCAAGGCGACGAUCAGUAGCUGGUCUGAGAGGAUGAUCAGCCACACUGGGACUGAGACACGGUCCAGACUCCUACGGGAGGCAGCAGUGGGGAAUUUUGGACAAUGGGCGAAAGCCUGAUCCAGCAAUGCCGCGUGUGUGAAGAAGGCCUUCGGGUUGUAAAGCACUUUUGUUCGGAAAGAAAAGCUUGGCGCUAAUACGGUCGUGUGAUGACGGUACCGGAAGAAUAAGCACCGGCUAACUACGUG
rnacentral:rRNA from 1 species